GUCAGGUUUACAAAGUACUAUUCAUAGUUCAUAUAUCAUUUAUGUCCAUCCUAUUUUUUUGUCCAUACUUUCUUAAACAUCUUGAAAUAACUGAUGCUAAUUAAUAAUAAACUUUUGGCUGGCAAAAAAAAAAUCAAAUUUGUCUAAUUAUCGCUUAAUUUGUCUAACUGAUUUAUGUAUUUCUUAAUUCUAAAAAAAUAAUGUAUAAUAUUGUAUUACAUUA
rnacentral:lncRNA from 1 species